rnacentral:rRNA from 1 species
GAAAUAAAUCUGAUGAGUUGUUGCUGGUUCUCUAGGGAGCAUGUGCACACUUGUCAUCUUUAUAUAUCCUCCUGUGCACAUUUUGUAGACCUGGAUAUCUCUCUGAUGGGCUAACUUUUAGUUUGGCACUCAGGUUUUUGAGGAUUGAUUUAUUAGUCUCUCCUUACAUUUCCAGGCCUAUGUCUCCUCAUACACCCCAAUUAAAGUUAUAGAAUGUAAAUAUUGGGCCUUUGUUGCCUAUAAAAUCUAUACAACUUUCAGCAACGGAUCUCUUGGCUCUCGCAUCGAUGAAGAACGCAGCGAAAUGCGAUAAGUAAUGUGAAUUGCAGAAUUCAGUGAAUCAUCGAAUCUUUGGACGCACCUUGCGCUCCUUGGUAUUCCGAGGAGCAUGCCUGUUUGAGUGUCAUUAAUAUUAUCAACCUCAUCUUGUUUUGAGUGUUGGAUGUGGGGGUCUAAAUUUUUGCUGGCCAUCUUUUUAAAUAAAGAGGGUCAGCUCCCCUAAAAUGCAUUAGCGGAACAUCUUGUAGACCGUUUAUUGGUGUGAUAACUAUCUACGCCAUUAAUGUCAAGUAGUGUUCAGCUUCUAAUAGUCCAUUGACUUGGACAAAUUUUUUAUUAAUGUGACCUCAAAUCAGGUAGGACUACCCGCUGAACUUAAGCAUAUCAAUAAGCGGAGGAAAAGAAACUAACAAGGAUUCCCCUAGUAACUGCGAGUGAAGCGGGAAAAGCUCAAAUUUAAAAUCUGGCAGUCUUUGGCUGUCCGAGUUGUAAUCUAGAGAAGCGUUAUCCGCGUUGGACCGUGUACAAGUCUCCUGGAAUGGAGCGUCAUAGAGGGUGAGAAUCCCGUCUUUGACACGGACUGCCAGGGCUUUGUGAUGCGCUCUCAAAGAGUCGAGUUGUUUGGGAAUGCAGCUCAAAAUGGGUGGUAAAUUCCAUCUAAAGCUAAAUAUUGGCGAGAGACCGAUAGCGAACAAGUACCGUGAGGGAAAGAUGAAAAGAACUUUGGAAAGAGAGUUAAACAGUACGUGAAAUUGCUGAAAGGGAAACGCUUGAAGUCAGUCGCGUUGGCCAGGGAUCAACCUUGCUUUUGCUUGGUGUACUUUCUGGUUAACGGGUCAACAUCAAUUUUGACUAUUGGAAAAAGAUUAGGGGAAUGUGACAUCUUCGGAUGUGUUAUAGCCUUUAGUUGUAUACAAUAGUUGGGAUUGAGGAACUCAGCACGCCGCAAGGCCCGGGUUUUUAA